rnacentral:ncRNA from 1 species
AAACAGAGAUAAAAACGCAACGUAUAUAGAAAUAUAUACCAGAGCCGGUAGGUAGCCCGGCCGUCACAAAAAAUUGUGGUAAGUAACCUGCCCCUCCGGGUUGUCCAUUCUUUGUUCAUUUA